UGCAAGUCGAGCGGAGUUAUUCCUUCGGGAAUAACUUAGCGGCGGACGGGUGAGUAACACGUAGGCAACCUGCCUGUAAGAUCGGGAUAACUACCGGAAACGGUAGCUAAGACCGAAUAAUCAGCUUGGUCGCAUGACCGAGCUGGGAAAAGCGGAGCAAUCUGCUACUUACAGAUGGGCCUGCGGCGCAUUAGCUAGUUGGUGGGGUAACGGCUCACCAAGGCGACGAUGCGUAGCCGACCUGAGAGGGUGAACGGCCACACUGGGACUGAGACACGGCCCAGACUCCUACGGGAGGCAGCAGUAGGGAAUCUUCCGCAAUGGACGCAAGUCUGACGGAGCAACGCCGCGUGAGUGAUGAAGGUUUUCGGAUCGUAAAGCUCUGUUGCCAGGGAAGAACGCUUGGGAGAGUAACUGCUCUCAAGGUGACGGUACCUGAGAAGAAAGCCCCGGCUAACUACGUGCCAGCAGCCGCGGUAAUACGUAGGGGGCAAGCGUUGUCCGGAAUUAUUGGGCGUAAAGCGCGCGCAGGCGGCUUUGUAAGUCUGGUGUUUAAACCUAGGGCUCAACCCUGGGUCGCAUUGGAAACUGCAAGGCUUGAGUGCAGAAGAGGAGAGUGGAAUUCCACGUGUAGCGGUGAAAUGCGUAGAGAUGUGGAGGAACACCAGUGGCGAAGGCGACUCUCUGGGCUGUAACUGACGCUGAGGCGCGAAAGCGUGGGGA
rnacentral:rRNA from 1 species